rnacentral:rRNA from 1 species
GACGAACGCUGGCGGCGUGCCUAAUACAUGCAAGUCGAACGAGAGCGACCGGUGCUUGCACUGGUCAAUCUAGUGGCGAACGGGUGAGUAACACGUGGGUAACCUGCCCAUCAGAGGGGGAUAACAUCCGGAAACGGAUGCUAAAACCGCAUAGGUCUUCGAACCGCAUGGUUUGAAGAGGAAAAGAGGCGCAAGCUUCUGCUGAUGGAUGGACCCGCGGUGCAUUAGCUAGUUGGUGAGGUAACGGCUCACCAAGGCCGUGAUGCAUAGCCGACCUGAGGGGGUGAUAGGCCACAUGGGGACUGAGACACGGCCAAAACUCCUACGGGAGGCAGCAGUAGGGAAUCUUCCGCAAUGGACGCAAGUCUGACGGAGCAACGCCGCGUGAGUGAAGAAGGUUUUCGGAUCGUAAAACUCUGUUGUUAGAGAAGAACAAGUGCUAGAGUAACUGUUAGCGCCUUGACGGUAUCUAACCAGAAAGCCACGGCUAACUACGUG